UUGGAGUUCAUGCAAGUUCUAACCAGCUUACUCAGUAGCUGGGUGAAUUGCAGUACUCCAACA
rnacentral:pre_miRNA from 1 species